UACAGAGGGUGCAAGCGUUGUUCGGAAUUACUGGGCGUAAAGCGCGUGUAGGUGGCGACGUAAGUCGGAUGUGAAAGCCCUCGGCUUAACCGAGGAAGUGCAUUCGAUACUGUGUUGCUUGAGUACUAGAGGGGUUGGCGGAAUUCCCGGUGUAGAGGUGAAAUUCGUAGAUAUCGGGAGGAACACCUGUGGCGAAGGCGGCCAACUGGAUAGUUACUGACACUGAGACGCGAAAGCGUGGGUAGCAAACAGG
rnacentral:rRNA from 1 species